rnacentral:rRNA from 1 species
AUGGGCGAUGGCAGUUCUCGUCCGGUGACGGCUAGCGCUGUUAGGGACGUAGUCGGGCUGGGUAUGGGUGACAGGGAGAUCCCAUUCCCGCAUGAACCGAGCUGCGUCGAUCGGGAUAUCUUCAAAGAUGUGUGCGUCGGGUUGGGGCUUGCUGAAACGGUGGAUAGGAUUAGCUUGCAGAUGCUACAGUCUAUUCUUGCUUCCCCCGGUGAUCUGAGUAUCGACUUUGAGUCCAACAGGCAGUGUGCUGCAUUUGCUCUUCUUUGCACUACUUGUUUGUUCAACCCCAGAGUGAAUCAGAGGGAGGACCCGAUCAGCCCGGAAGUUUUCAUUGUUGUGCGUGAUCCAUCCAAGAUGUCUGAAUUUGAUUGGUGUGGAUAUAUUAAAAAUGUUAUCAUGGCUGGGGUUAGUAAAAUGCACGCAGAUCUGAAGGCCGGUGCAGUGGCAAUGCAGCUACAAGGGUUCGUGAUGAUUCCCCAGGUACGCCCAUCCCACAUAUUGGCUGCCCUGUGCAUUUUGCCUAUUUUUUGUUUUGCCAUGAAAUGCUAUGAGUGUGAUGUAUUGUUUUUUGUCCUAAACUGUCCUAGAUAA